UACAGAGGGUGCGAGCGUUAAUCGGAAUUACUGGGCGUAAAGCGCGCGUAGGCGGCUUUGCAAGUCGGGUGUGAAAUCCCCAGGCUUAACCUGGGAACUGCAUUCGAGACUGCAUUGCUAGAGUAUGGGAGAGGGAAGUGGAAUUUCCGGUGUAGCGGUGAAAUGCGUAGAUAUCGGAAGGAACAUCAGUGGCGAAAGCGGGUUGCUGGGCUGACACUGACGCUGAUGCGCGAAAGCUAGGGGAGCAAACGGG
rnacentral:rRNA from 1 species